rnacentral:lncRNA from 1 species
AUGCCCCAGCCCAACGGCUUCUCAGGAGCCUCCAGUGCCCCCCUGGGCAUCGGCCCUUGGUCCUGCCUGGCCAUUCACUUUGCUGGGCUGUGUCCCACCUCUAAUAAACAUCCCUGUUUGUUCCAGACAUACACUGGAAACUUUGCCUACCGGGUGCAGCCUGUGCUUUCUGAACAAACACUGCACACCAUUCUGGGCAGGCUGGGCUAUGUGGCUACCUCUGAGGCAGAGUUUUCGCUGGUCCAGGCCAUCAGCAAGGAGGACGCCGAGCAGAUGGUGUUUGAAAUCUUCGUGGCGAGAGUUACAUGUGAGGCCAUUCUGGGGACCUCGAGCAGGCAGGUCCUGGGACUGGGCAGAGAGAAACCCUACCGCAGGCGCAGCUCCAAGAGAAAGCUGGCGAAGGCCCACAACUGCCCCGAGGGGGCCCAGCCAGGCCCCCAAGAAGGGCUGGGAUCUGAGAGGGCCCUGGCUGAGGGCCCUGACCAUCAGAGCACUGUGCCAACGGCCCCAAGCCUGUCUGAGGUCUCAACAUCCCCCCGCACCCUCCGUGCCGGCCCCCAGCUCCCCCUGGACUCCCAGCACCGUGCCAGCACACGCUCGGACAGUGAGGAGUUCUUGACCUGCUACAGUGACCUUGUUCUGCACCGGACACCCCUGUUCCCCAGGGACUUUCCCCUGCGCGGCCUGAAGGGAGACCAAGCCCAGGGCCCAGCCCUGGCUCCCAGCCCACCUGCAGGUGAAGCGCUCACCUCCUUGGGCAGCAGCGGUGAGUGGUCCCUGGUCCCCAAUGCAGCUCCUGAGAGCAGAGUGGUCAUCAUCCCCAAGCAGCCCCGGCUGACACCAGGCCCCCAGUUGUCAGGGAAACCCUUGGACCCAAAGCCAGAAGCACAGCCGGAGCCGACCGCCCCUGACGCAGACACUGUUUCUCCAAACACUUCCUCUGAGUUGGACGAGCUCUGUGAACACCUCUCCCACCUCCUCAGACCCCCAACUCUAGCAGACCAUCCUGGGGGCCUCCCAGGCCCUGGGGUUGAGGACACUAGACAAUCAGAACCUCUCACGGGGCCAGAGCCAGCCGCUGAGGCCGGGGGCCCAGACAGUAGGAUCACCCAACUCUGGAGGCCUACUCAAAACCCCCUCAUGUAUGAGGGCCCCCGACACUAUGUUCCCCCAGGGGAGCUGGAGGGGCCAGUUCUGACCCAAGAACACCACCCAGGCAAUAGCUAA